GAUGAACGCUGGCGGCGUGCUUAACACAUGCAAGUCGAACGGUGAAGCAGAGCUUGCUCUGUGGAUCAGUGGCGAACGGGUGAGUAACACGUGAGCAACCUGCCCCGGACUCUGGGAUAAGCGCUGGAAACGGCGUCUAAUACCGGAUACGAGAUUCCACCGCAUGGUGAGUUUCUGGAAAGAUUUUUUGGUCUGGGAUGGGCUCACGGCCUAUCAGCUUGUUGGUGAGGUAAUGGCUCACCAAGGCGUCGACGGGUAGCCGGCCUGCGAGGGGGACCGGCCACACUGGGACUGAGGCACGGCCCAGACUCCUACGGGAGGCAGCAGUGGGGAAUAUUGCACAAUGGGCGGAAGCCUGAUGCAGCAACGCCGCGUGAGGGAUGACGGCCUUCGGGUUGUAAACCUCUUUUAGCAGGGAAGAAGCGAAAGUGACGGUACCUGCAGAAAAAGCGCCGGCUAACUACGUGCCAGCCGCCGCCGUAAGAC
rnacentral:rRNA from 1 species